GCCUCAGUAGCUCAGCCAGCGGAGCAGUGCUUUCGUAAAGCAAAGGUCGCAGGUGCAAAUCCUGCCUGAGGCU
rnacentral:tRNA from 1 species